rnacentral:rRNA from 1 species
AUCGCUGGGUAGCUAUGUGCGGAAGGGAUAAGUGCUGAAAGCAUCUAAGCAUGAAGCCCCCCUCGAGAUGAGAUUUCCCAUCACGUAUGUGAGUAAGAUCCCUAGAAGAUGACUAGGUAGAUAGGUCAGAGAUGGAAGCAUGGCGACAUGUGGAGUUGACUGAUACUAAUCGAUCGAGGACUUAACCACAA